rnacentral:rRNA from 1 species
UACGAAGGGGGCUAGCGUUGCUCGGAAUCACUGGGCGUAAAGCGCACGUAGGCGGCUUUCUAAGUCAGGGGUGAAAUCCUGGAGCUCAACUCCAGAACUGCCUUUGAUACUGGAGAGCUUGAGUCCGGAAGAGGUGAGUGGAACUCCGAGUGUAGAGGUGAAAUUCGUAGAUAUUCGGAAGAACACCAGUGGCGAAGGGCGGCUCACUGGUCCGGUACUGACGCUGAGGGAGCGAAAAGC